rnacentral:rRNA from 1 species
UACGGAGGGGGCUAGCGUUGUUCGGAAUUACUGGGCGUAAAGCGCGCGUAGGCGGACCUGCAAGUCGGGGGUGAAAGCCCGAGGCUCAACCUCGGAACUGCCUUCGAUACUGCUGUGACUGGAGUCCGGUAGGGGAGCGUGGAAUUCCUGGUGUAGCAGUGAAAUGCGUAGAUAUCAGGAGGAAUACCGAUGGCGAAGGCAGGUCUCUGGGCUGACACUGACGCUCAUGCACGAAAGCGUGGGGAGCAAACAGG